rnacentral:lncRNA from 1 species
CUGACCUCAUUUGCAUAACUGGCUGGACAAAGGAGGACACAGGCUCUCACCUUCGGGCUGAGACAAGUCCACCGGCCACUACCCCAGCCCCGGCCGCGAAGCAAGACUAACUUUGUAGUCUCAAGCGCCUCUGUGAUCUACAGCUGAGAACGAGAUGUUGUGGGUCGGUUUUGAAGUUCUGAGACAGUGUUAUGCUGCAGCCCAGGCUGACCCUGAUAUGGAGGUCCUACUGCGCCAGUCUCAGUCAGUCCCAGAGUGUUGGGAUUGCAGUUGGACCUCACCACGCCUGGCUGAGAUUACAGUUUGUGUCACUUUCCUCACUGUCUUGUCUGUCCCCCACCCCCACCCCAAUAAUUCAGGUUCACAAGAAUCCCCAUCUAAGGCUCUGCCUCUAGCGAGGCCACCCAGGCCCUAAAUCCCUUCAUUCUUUUGUUUUUCCUUUUUAAAAAUGUAUUCUUCUUUCAUGUAGUACAUCCCAACACAAUUCCCUUCUCCCCCCUCCUGCCAGUCUCCCCCUUUCCCAUUCCUCCAAAUUUACCCCCACCUUCGGAAUUCUUUAUUUCACACACAGUCCAGGAAAUCCUGUGGCUCCUGAGGUUGACAGAAGGUGGGAAGAGGUAAGUCAGCAUGGGUAUGAGGGAUGCCAACCCUGGACCAUCAGGACCUCUCUCUCCCUCCUCUGUUGCUCUGAAAGGCGGGACAGCCAAGUUAUAAACCCAUACAAGAGAUGGGGGAUUGGGAAAACAAAUGACUCUAACCUUCUGAAAGCAUAAGCUGUCAAACUAAAUACUUCCGUUUAUAAGUUGUCU